rnacentral:rRNA from 1 species
GAUCAUGGCUCAGGAUGAACGCUAGCUACAGGCUUAACACAUGCAAGUCGAGGGGCAGCAUGGUCUUAGCUUGCUAAGACCGAUGGCGACCGGCGCACGGGUGAGUAACGCGUAUCCAACCUGCCUUACACUCUUGGACAGCCUUCUGAAAGGGAGAUUAAUACAAGAUGUUAUCAUGAGUAAGCAUUUUCGCAUGAUUAAAGAUUUAUCGGUGUACGAUGGGGA